rnacentral:rRNA from 1 species
CCUACGGGCGGCAGCAGUGAGGAAUAUUGGUCAAUGGACGCAAGUCUGAACCAGCCAUGCCGCGUGCAGGAUGACGGCUCUAUGAGUUGUAAACUGCUUUUGUACGAGGGUAAACCCCGAUACGUGUAUCGGGGUGAAAGUAUCGUACGAAUAAGGAUCGGCUAACUCCGUGCCAGCAGCCGCGGUAAUACGGAGGAUCAGAGCUUUAUCCGGAUUUCUUGGGUUUAAAGGGUGCGUAGGCGGUUUGAUAAGUUAGAGGUGAAAUGUCGGGGCUCAAACCCGAAACUGCCUCUAAUACUGUUGGACUAUGUAAUAGUUGCGGUAGGCGGAAUGUAUGGUGUAGCUGUGAAAUGCUUAGAGAUCAUACAGAACACCGAUUGCGAAGGCAGCUUACCAAACUAUAUCUGACGUUGAGGCACGAAAGCGUGGGUAGCAAACAGGAUUAGAUACCCCUGUAGUC